rnacentral:rRNA from 1 species
CGCGAAUGGCUCAUUACAACAGCUAUAAUUUACUUGAUCUUGACACAAUCCUACUUGGAUAACUGUGGUAAUUCUAGAGCUAAUACAUGCAUUAAAGCUCUGACCUCACGGGAAGAGUGCAUUUAUUAGAACAAAACCAAGCGGCUUCGGCUGUUUCUGGUUGACUCAUAGUAACUGAGCUGAUCGCAUGGUCUUGCACCGGCGACGUGUCUUUCAAGUAUCUGCCGUAUCAACUUUCGAUGGUAGUGUAUCUGACUACCAUGGUGAUCACGCGUAACGGAGAAUAAGGGUUCGGCUCCGGAGAGUUCGCCUGAGAAAUCGCGAACACAUCUAAGGAAGGCAGCAGGCGCGAAAAUUACCCACUCUCAGCACGAGGAGGUAGUGACGAAAAAUAACGAGACCGUUCUCUUAUGAGGCCGGUCAUCGGAAUGGGUACAAUUUAAACCCUUCAACGAGUAUCUAUGAGAGGGCAAGUCUGGUGCCAGCAGCCGCGGUAAUUCCAGCU